GGUUGGAUGGCCGAGUGGUCUAAGGCGCUGGAAUUAGGAACCUACAUCCAGUCCUCCGGGGCGUGGGUUCGAACCCCACUCCAAUCA